AUCUCGCAGCCCGACCUGAGUGGAGCUCUUUUUGCGAGGAGGAACGACGAGCAAAAAAGCGGGAACGGAGGGCGGAUUAAGCU
rnacentral:misc_RNA from 1 species